rnacentral:rRNA from 1 species
GUCGAGCGGUAGAGAGAAGCUUGCUUCUCUUGAGAGCGGCGGACGGGUGAGUAAUGCCUAGGAAUCUGCCUGGUAGUGGGGGAUAACGUUCGGAAACGGACGCUAAUACCGCAUACGUCCUACGGGAGAAAGCAGGGGACCUUCGGGCCUUGCGCUAUCAGAUGAGCCUAGGUCGGAUUAGCUAGUUGGUGGGGUAAUGGCUCACCAAGGCGACGAUCCGUAACUGGUCUGAGAGGAUGAUCAGUCACACUGGAACUGAGACACGGUCCAGACUCCUACGGGAGGCAGCAGUGGGGAAUAUUGGACAAUGGGCGAAAGCCUGAUCCAGCCAUGCCGCGUGUGUGAAGAAGGUCUUCGGAUUGUAAAGCACUUUAAGUUGGGAGGAAGGGUUGUAGAUUAAUACUCUGCAAUUUUGACGUUACCGACAGAAUAAGCACCGGCUAACUCUGUGCCAGCAGCCGCGGUAAUACAGAGGGUGCAAGCGUUAAUCGGAAUUACUGGGCGUAAAGCGCGCGUAGGUGGUUAGUUAAGUUGGAUGUGAAAUCCCCGGGCUCAACCUGGGAACUGCAUUCAAAACUGACUGACUAGAGUAUGGUAGAGGGUGGUGGAAUUUCCUGUGUAGCGGUGAAAUGCGUAGAUAUAGGAAGGAACACCAGUGGCGAAGGCGACCACCUGGACUGAUACUGACACUGAGGUGCGAAAGCGUGGGGAGCAAACAGGAUUAGAUACCCUGGUAGUCCACGCCGUAAACGAUGUCAACUAGCCGUUGGGAGCCUUGAGCUCUUAGUGGCGCAGCUAACGCAUUAAGUUGACCGCCUGGGGAGUACGGCCGCAAGGUUAAAACUCAAAUGAAUUGACGGGGGCCCGC